AUCCAUCCCUCCAGCUCCCUCCAGUGAAACACAGCCUGCUGAAGAAACUACACCACUAAUGUCCAGUGAAUCUCCUGCACCCACCGGGGACCAACAAGAACAUAUUUCAAGAACAAGUACCCCUGAUGUAACUAUGGAUGGUCAUGAUGAUGACCAGAGUCUGGAUGCCCUCGCCUACCGGUCUGGUACUGGACAGCUAGACAUUGAGAUGGGUCCAGUCCAAACACUGCCCAAAGAUCGUAACAGGAUUCUUUAAUAUCGCUGUUAGACCCAAGUUUCCCAUCGACCGUGAUUCACUAUUGAAGGGGAAUGACAUUACAGGAUACAAAGUAACGCAGUUCGAGAAAUUCUGGAUCAACAUGAAAGUGAAUCUGAUGGUUCAAACUCAGAAACUAGGGGAGGAAAUACACCAGUCUGAUUCCUUCCUGAUGCCAGCUUUGAAAGGAGAAGAGGAGUAAUGUGUUUAACAUCAUUAUUUGAUCAAUCCUCACAUUAUUCUUCUAUAUGUGGCUCACAGAGCAAAGACAAGCGAGGUGUUAAUAAAUAGUGUGAGGUGUGCUCUGUGAGGCGUCCUGGGAUAUGAUGGGUAACGUUGGCUUGGGUCCAAGCUCCACCUCUCUUGGGCGACCGCCGAGGA